CAACUACUCCCUCUGUCCCAAAUUUCUUGUCUUAGAUUUGUCUAGAUACAGAUGUAUCUAAUACUAAAAUGUGACUUGAUACAUCUGUAUCUAGACAAAUCUAAGACAAUAAUUUUGGGACGGAGGGAGUACUUU
rnacentral:pre_miRNA from 1 species